UACAGAGGGUGCAAGCGUUGUUCGGAAUUAUUGGGCGUAAAGGGCGCGUAGGCGGUGCGGUAAGUCUGUAGUGAAAUCUCUGGGCUCAACUCAGAGUCUGCUGCAGAAACUGCCGUGCUUGAGUGUGGGAGAGGUGAGUGGAACUGCGAGUGUAGAGGUGAAAUUCGUAGAUAUUCGCAAGAACACCAGUGGCGAAGGCGGGAUCCUGGGCCAGUACUGACGCUGAGGAGCGAAAGCGUGGGGAGCAAACAGG
rnacentral:rRNA from 1 species